rnacentral:rRNA from 1 species
GUCUAUGGCCAUCCCACCCUGAACACGCCUGAUCUCCUCUGAUCUCGGAAGCUAAGCAGGUCCGGCCUGGUUAGUACUUGGAUGGGAGAUUGCCACAUGUUGGUUUUAUUUAACCCCAGAAAAUGUAAACA